CAGUAGCCACGGUAACACGGAGGGUGCAAGCGUUAAUCGGAAUUACUGGGCGUAAAGCGCACGCAGGCGGUCUGUCAAGUCAGAUGUGAAAUCCCCGGGCUUAACCUGGGAACUGCAUUUGAAACUGGCAGGCUAGAGUCUUGUAGAGGGGGGUAGAAUUCCAGGUGUAGCGGUGAAAUGCGUAGAGAUCUGGAGGAAUACCGGUGGCGAAGGCGGCCCCCUGGACAAAGACUGACGCUCAGGUGCGAAAGCGUGGGGAGCAAACAGGAUUAGAGACCCCAGUAGUCCCUGUCUCUUAUAA
rnacentral:rRNA from 1 species